AUUGAACGCUGGCGGCAGGCCUAACACAUGCAAGUCGAGCGGAUGAAGGGAGCUUGCUCCUGGAUUCAGCGGCGGACGGGUGAGUAAUGCCUAGGAAUCUGCCUGGUAGUGGGGGACAACGUUUCGAAAGGAACGCUAAUACCGCAUACGUCCUACGGGAGAAAGCAGGGGACCUUCGGGCCUUGCGCUAUCAGAUGAGCCUAGGUCGGAUUAGCUAGUUGGUGAGGUAAUGGCUCACCAAGGCGACGAUCCGUAACUGGUCUGAGAGGAUGAUCGGGCACACUGGAACGGGGCCAAGGUCCAGACUCCUACGGGAGGCGGCAGUGGGGAAUAUUGUCCGGUGGGCGAAAGCCUGAUCCAGCCAUGCCGCGUGUGUGAAGAAGGUCUUCGGAUUUUAAAGCACUUUAAGUUGGGAGGAAGGGUUGUAGAUUAAUACUCUGCAAUUUUGACGUUACCGACAGAAUAAGCACCGGCUAACUCUGUGCCAGCCGCCGCAGUAAAAC
rnacentral:rRNA from 1 species